UCCCAGACCUCGCGCGGAGUUUAGAUAUUGUACACACAGCGGUGGCGGGAGAUCGGGAAGAUGUCGACCAUGGGCGUGAAAGUGUUCUGAAGGGCCUUUGUGUGUACCUCAAUGAAGACCCCGAACAUCUGAUACGACAGCAUGUAGGAGUAAGUGAUACAGCCUUUGAAGAAUCAGUUGAGGAAACUACUGUGGGGAUCUUCACGGUGAAACAACAGGAGGCGCAGCCUACUCCAGACGAUGUAGGAAUUAUCCUGGAAGGCCAAAUUGUUAUCCAGGAUUUAGACAAUGUUCCUCUGGCUGUUGCACUACUGUUUGGCCUCCUGUAUGCUCUAAAUAUGGAUUAUCCUCAUUAACUCAGGUAUACCUUUGAAGUGAUCCAGAAACUGAUCAUGGAGCUAGAUGGUGGCACACUUUCAAAGAAAGUCCAGGUCCUGAAGAAUAGACUCAAUGAGUAAUGCUGGCCAGUGAGCAUGACCAGCUUAUUUGAGGACUUGUCCAUUUAAGUUGCUUUUCAUUGUUCUCAUGUUGUUGUAAACAAACUUUUAAAUAUGCUUAGUUACUUAAAAAAAAAAGGCGUUCUGU